GACGAACGCUGGCGGCGUGCUUAACACAUGCAAGUCGAGCGGAAAGGCCCUUCGGGGUACUCGAGCGGCGAACGGGUGAGUAACACGUGAGCAACCUGCCCUGGACUUUGGGAUAACCCUCGGAAACGGGGGCUAAUACCGAAUACGACCUGUCACUGCAUGGUGGUGGGUGGAAAGUUUUUCGGUUCUGGGAGUGGGCGUCGCGGCCUAUCAGCUUGUUGGUGGGGU
rnacentral:rRNA from 1 species